UAACUACGUCUAGGCAAGAGCCAAUUGGCUAAAUUUCUAAAAUUACUUUACUCAGAGGCUGCGUCAGAUUCGUUUGUUCAGGAGAGAAGUCGGUCAUUUACUUAUUCUAGGUAUACAUGAACGAGACAUUAAACAGUGUUUCUCAUAGACCAUGCAUUGGAAGUUUUAGAUAAAAGCUUAAAGUUAUCGAAAAAUGUUCGGAAUCUCAGAGAACACUCGAAGCACCAAUUACUACAAGGCAAUUAUAAACAAGAACUGAUUGAUGGGUACAGAAACUUAGAAUUUAACGGAUCUCAUGGAAGCACUAUUUCAAAAAUGUCAUAACGAU
rnacentral:lncRNA from 1 species